rnacentral:rRNA from 1 species
UACGUAGGGCGCAAGCGUUGUCCGGAAUUAUUGGGCGUAAAGAGCGUGUAGGCGGUCUGGUAGGUCCGUUGUGAAAACUCGAGGCUCAACCUCGAGACGCCGAUGGAAACCCUCAGACUAGAGUCCGGAAGAGGAGAGUGGAAUUCCUGGUGUAGCGGUGAAAUGCGCAGAUAUCAGGAAGAACACCCGUGGCUAAGGCGGCUCUCUAGUACGGUACUGACGCUGAGACGCGAAAGCGUGGGGAGCGAACAGG